AACCCUGGCAAUGGGCAAAGAGACACCUUGUUGGUGAUGUUGUUUUUAUGUCAGACGGGGCAGAGCAGAUGGCAGUUCUUUGACCAUCCUAGCUCGAUGCCUGGCUUGGUGGCCCAAGUCGUUUUAUGCCUAGGACUGAGAA